rnacentral:rRNA from 1 species
UCGGAGCCUGCAACCCGGCUCCGUGAAGCUGGAUUCGCUAGUAAUCGCGCAUCAGCCAUGGCGCGGUGAAUACGUUCCCGGGCCUUGUACACACCGCCCGUCAAGCCAUGGGAGCCGGGGGGCGCCUGAAGUGCGGUACCGCGAGGGCCGCCCAAGGGCGAGACCGGUGACUGGGGCUAAGUCGUAACAAGGUAGC